AUGAGCACUUACAGUAACAACAGAUCAUGCUAUGACAUGGAAUACUGGAGUCAGGAGAUAUCAAGGGGAAAAUUUGGAACACUUCUUAGCUCUAUAGAGACCAAGCGGGAUGUGUGGUAUUUGUCUAGUUUUUCCUCUCUCUUCAAACAUAAAGACAUUUAUUUUUUAAUGAAUAAAUAAAUAAAUGUUUUUCAUUUUAAACAUUCUUUAUUUGAAACAAAGGAGAAGUGAUCAAUUGUUUCCAUCUUAUUUUAAUGGCAUUACUACAUUUCAAUUAGCUGGAAGAAAAAUGUAAGAUUUUAUGUCAUCUUUUAAGCUCUAUUUAGUGUCAGUGAUCAUACAUCUUAAUAUUUUUAUGCCAAUAUUUGGAGUUUAAAAAACCUGGUGUUAAACUUGUGAAAAAAAAGAAAAAAAAAAAGUGGUCUAUGGUAUUACUUAAAUACCACCAUGUUCAGUCAAGCUUAGCUAAGCCACUCAACUAAGUCCAAAGACAUGUUGAAGCUCGAGCAACAUAUCAUCCUUCAACCCAUACACAGGGCUCAGGAUUGGGCCUAUGUGUGGUAUACUUAUAUAUAACCAAGUUUACCCAAACUAAGCUACUCAUUCAAGUCCAAUUAAUACAUAUUGAAGCCCAAAUAAUCCUUCAACCCCCACACAGGCCUCGAUGUUAGGCCACACUGCUUAUCCCACAAUUUUUUAGUACUUCGUUUUUAUAAUAAUAGCAAUAAAAUUAAUUUAUUAAUUAAGUAAUUAAGUUUUAGAGAGAGAGAGAGAGAGAACAGAGGACCUUACCCAUCUCCUCUUGCCAUCAGUGGCAACUCUACGUUUAAGUGAGGGUGGUCCUGACUUGGAAAAAAAGAAAAGAAAAGUAUUUAUACAAUUGAAAAGAAAUUUUUUUACAAUUAAACUAUUGUGAUCACUCUAAUAAAAAUGUUGAACACCUUAAUUUGAGAAUUAUAAAAAUUAAGGUUUAACAAAAAUCUUGUUUUCCCCCUAAAAAAAAGGGUUUAACAAAAAUAAAAGUAAUGUAAUAUCCACAAUAUUUUCAUAAUAAUUUUAUAACAAAUCUUAUGUAGUAAACUGUUAUCGAUUCUAAUUUGGACAUUGAUAUCACUUUUUUAUCCACCAAUGACAAUUGUUCGUAUAAGAUUUAUUGUAAAAAUAUUGUAGAUAUAACAUUACUUCAGAAAAAAAUUAUAGCCCCCAAACAUAAUCCUUAACCCGUAAAAAAAAACUUAAAUAACAUCAAUAAAAAUUAGCCCAAAUUACAACAAAAAUAACCCAAACAAAAAUAUAACUAGACAAACAACAACAAGUGAACAAAAGAUUCAAUAAAAAGUUAUUAAAAAAAAAGAUAAUAAUCUCUAAUCAUUCAAAUUUGUAACUCAUUCGCCCAUUAAAUAAAAAUUAAUCUAUAAUUUCAUUUUCCUUAAAAAAAGUAUAAGAGAAAUACGGUGGUCUUGAGUUCCCUUUAAUGGUAAUGGGCUAACGACAGUUAUGCUUUCUUUGGCUUUAAAAUUGCAACAAUUUUGCUCUCCUUAGCGACUCAACUUAUAGUUGUAGCAAAUAUUCUCUAUCUCUCUCUUCAUUUUUUUUUUCUCUAUUAUCAUUUUUCUCUUUGUUAGUAAAAAGAAAUUGUGAUACUUAAUGUAUUUGUGUGUUUUAUUUUUUGUGGCGUUGAUAUAUUUUAGUUAUCUAUUUAUUAGUAGAUUAUUAGAUUUUGUAUAAUUUAAUUUUCUUAGUGAUCAAUGAUCACCCUAAAAAAAUUUCUAAAAUCACUACGGCUUGUUGUUGAAACAAAAUCAGGGUGAUUGGAAAAUGGGUAGCGCUCCCUUUUAUUUAUUUUUGGUUGAAUAAUACUUGUCGUUAAAAAAGAAAAUAAUUACAAAGAAAGUAAACUUUUUUUUUUUUUAGAAACACAACGAAAGGAAACUAGAUGGAGGAGAUGAGAAUGUUUCCUUUAAUAUUACACAAAAGAGUCCAUCUAUAAUCUAUAAUAUAUAUAUAUAUAUAUAUCACUCUUUUUAUUUUAGUUUUUUUAGAUAUACACAUGAGUUUACUUUUUUUUUUUUUUAUUGGAUUUUUUAUGGUUUAUUUAUAAUAGACUCUUCGUCUUUUACACAACAUUAACUCACUUAGAAUAAAACUAAAAAAAAAAAAAAAAUAGAUAGAACAUGUGGUACAAAAUUAGACAACAAUUGAAAUCCAAUUUAGAAUUUAAUUGGAUUUUUUCUCAGUUUUGAGAAUAUAUAUAUAUAUAUAUAGGUUUAAAUUAUAUUUAGUGGAGUUAAAUAUUUUUUAAGUCAUAAAUAUAUUCAUAAGUUUUACUUUUAUUUAUAUACUAGCAUGUAAUCCAUGCAAACGCAUGGAUACAUUUAAAAUAAACACAACUUUUAUUAUAAAAAUAUAAAUAAUUAGUCAAAUUAUUUUUAAAAAACAUGUAACACAUGCAUACGCAUAAAUACUUUUAAAAUUAAACAUAAUUUUUAUCAUAAAAAUAUAAAUAAUAAAUCAAAUUAUUUUUUUUAAAAGUAAACGUAAUUAGUCAUAUAUUAAAAUUCUUAUCUAAAUUUAAUACUACUUAUAAUCAUUUUUUUCUAAUAUUUAAUAAGAUAGAACGUGUGGUAAUUUUUGUUGUGUGGUGAUUUUUAUUGAGUAUAUGUGAUUAAUUUUUUUAAUAUAAUUUUAUAGUUCAUUAAUAUUAAAUUUUUAGUAUCUUGCACUCAUUAAUUCACUUGAUAUAAAAAUUAAAAAACCUAAGUGGACACAUGACAUAAACUUAAAUGGAUAAUUAUGGUGUGGUUCCUACAUAAAUUUAGACACAUGACGCAAAAUUAGAUUCUAAUUUCAAAUUUUAAUUGAACGUUUUCUAACCUUUACCUAUUAAUAGAUAUAUAUAGAUUUUAGAUAUACACAUGACUUUACUCUUUCUUCUUCUUUUUUUGUUUAUUGGAAUUUUUAGGCUUAUUUAUAUUAGACUCUUUGUUUUUUGUACAACAUUAACUCACCUAUAACAAAAAUUUAAGAAAAAAAAAUUGAUAAAACACAUGGCGCAAAAUUAAACAACAACUGGAAUCUAAUUUAGAAUAAAUUGGAUUUUGUGCCACAUUAGAAUCAAUUAGACAACAAUUGGAAUCUUCUCAAAAAAAAUUUAGAAUCAAUUGGAUUUUCUCUCAAUUUUGAGUUUAUAUAUAUAUAUAUAUAUAUCAUGGGGGCUUUUUAAGUGGGAACAAAAAAAAAAAUCAUGAUCUAAUGGGAAAAAAAAUUGAAAACAAUAAAUUUGCAUGACAAUCGGUUGCUCUUAUAAAAUUCAAGUGGAAAAAAAAAUACAACUUAAAUGGGCCUUAUUUAUUUACUUUGAGAAUAGCAAUCGGUUGAUUUUAUACUUACAAUAUAAGUGAAUAAAAUUAAUAAAUUCAAUGGUUUAAUUGGAAAAAAAUUACAAGAAUAAAUUAUUAACUUUCUAUGGUGGAAAAAAAACUAAAAAUAAAUAUGGAAAGUGUCAAAUCUUCAAUAAACCUACAAGGCCUCCUCAAUCUUCUUUCCCAACCUUUUCCCUUCUUGUGGGUUUCAAUUAGGUCAAGUGGUAAAGUCUCUAAUGGUUGUAUAAGAGAUCUAGGGUUUAAUUCUUGUCUACACCAAAAAUUGAUUGAUGUCUUGGUUUGAUGAUAAUGAACUAUCAUCAAGAGCGGACGCCAUAGGUUGAAACUCUCUCUCUCUCCCAAAAAAAAAAAAAUUUCCCCUCCCUCAACACCUCUUUAUCAUAAAUACUUAUUUUUUACUCCCUCUACAUAUUUACAUGUUUAUAUAUGUUCUCUUUUUAUCCUUGUUAUAACCAAUAAGUUUAGAAUUUGUGAUGGUAAUUUUUUACUUUUCAGUGUUUUCACUACAUAUAUUUUUAUCUCUCUCUCUCUCUCUCUCUUGAUCUUUGAUUUAUUUUAAUGCUUUGCAUUUUAUAGAUUGCUUUCUUUGUAUAUGAAAAUUUAAGUUGAAUGAUAAUCUAAAAUUUUAUUUUUCAAUGUAUUAUUGUUUUUGAUCUCUACUAUCAUAGGUCCUCUCUCUCUCUCUCUCUCUCUCUCUCUCUCUCUCUCAUUUCUAUUUAUCUAUAAUCUUGAUCUUUGAUUUGUUUCAACACUUUGCGUUUUAUAGAUUGCUUUAUUUGUAUAUGAAAAUUUGGGUUGAACGAUCAUUUUGCAACUAAAGGUCUCUCUCUCUCACACAAAAUUUGUUGGGUUCCAAUUAAUAUUAUGACUAAUUUAUCAAUCCAAAAUAGCAAUUACACACAAGAAUACAAAUAUUUACAUGGAAAAACCCUUUCUCCUAGAGGGAAAAAACCACGAGACAAACUUUGAAUCUAUUCACUAUUUCCAAAUCAAUUACAAUAAUUCUCAAGUUUAUGCCUAACUUGAGAUUCACCAAAUACAAUAAUAAAUCUACUAGUGUAUGUCUCAUGGCAAAAAAAAAUCUCAUUGUUUUCUUUGCUCUCUACACAUUAAUUAUUUUUCUCAGAGGUGACAACACUUUUCUUUUCUCUUUCUAUUUUUUUCGCCACGCAUAGCUCUCUCUUAAUGUCUUCUUUUUCUUUAUGUGGCGGACAUUUUUUUUUUUUUGUGCGGCUUUUGUUUCUCUUCUAUAUGGCACACUCAAAAAUUACAUAUAAGCCUUGUUUAUACAACCUAGCCGCCUCAUACUCCUAGUAGCACACAAAUCUUAAUUCAACUUGAAUUAGGAGUACUUGCUACCUAUUGGGCAUGGGAAUAACAGUACAAUCCCAUAUGUAGGCUUUAACUUCUUGUGGACAGGACCAUGGUGCUUGAUGCACCCAACAAAAUUUAUUGUUUUAACUAUUAUUGUUUAAUUCAACCAGCUUUUGAUAAAGUGGUCAAUUUGGACCAAAAUAUUAUUCGUCUCUGUAUGAACUUUUAUUUACGAAGGCUAUUAUAUAUAUAUAUAUGACAAAAUUUACCUAAAAAAUUGGUUGUAACCUUAAAUUAUAAUUUUAUUUAAUAUCUUUUAAGGAUAUGAAUAUUGAUCAAUGGAUAAAAGUAUUAAUUGAUCCCAAUGAAAUUUUGAGAAUACAAGGUGGGGAAGCAAUGGAGGUUAGUAUUUUUGCUGUUGUUCUUUGUGACCAAAUUUAGAUGAACAGAAAUAAAGCAGUGUGGAGUAACCAAUCGAUAGAUUCAGUCAAGCUCUUUAACCAUAAGGUGUUUAUACAACACAAACAAGCUUGGCAAUUGACCCUUGAGAAAAAAAGAUAAUUCCUCCUCUUGGAAGCCUCCUCUCCUCUAGGAUGGAUCAAAUGUAACUUUAAUGCAAUAGUGAAGCCUGAUAUGGUGGUGUUGAAAGUGGUUUGUAGAGAUAGCAUUGGUUCCAUAGUAUUAGCUCAAACUUAAGAAGAAUGCCCAGGUGAGCCUAUUUGGGUAGAAUUGAAAGCUACUAUACUAGCAGCUAGAUGAUAAGGCUUUGAUAGAGUUUAGGGAUGGCAAUUUUGGCCCCGCCCCUCCCUGCUUUGCCCCAUGCGGGUUUUCCUCGUCCCGCAAAGGUGGUGGGGCGGAGAUGGGGCAAGAUUUUAGCUCCACACCACGGGGCGGGACGGGAAUGGGUUUAGACUUUUUAGACCCAACCCGCCCCAACCCAACCCAUCCCUACCCCACCCCACAUUGAUAAGGGUUAAAUUGUAAAAUUUUCAUACCCUAAAACCUUACUAUUUUUUAUACUUUUUUUUUUCCUCUAGGAAGGUUGGAAAUAAGAUACCAAUUUUAAUAUUUUCUUUUGUCUUUAUUAUAAAAAAAAAAUUAUAUACUAUUGAAUUAUUGAUUUUGUAUUAUGAGAUUUUUGUUUUUGUUGGGAUAUUGUCUUGUUAAACACUUUAAUAAUAUUAUUCAAUUUUCAAGUAUAUUUUUAUUAACGAAACAACUUUUAUUAAAAACAAUUGUAAUAGUUGUGGGCAAAUUAACAAGAAGUAGAGUUUUACGGGGUGGGGGCGGGUCUUCGUGGGGCCCUAAGGGGCAAGGAUGGGGUAAGAAAAUUUUCCUCAUCAUGCGGGGUGGGGGGAUGGGGUAAGACAAAACCAUGCGAGGUGGGGGCGAAGACCCCAUCCUUCAGACUUUCCCCGCCCCAUUGCCAUCCCUAAUAGAGUUGUGUUAGAAGGAGAUGCUUAAGCUGGCAUAAAAGCUAUCUUAAACCUAUCUGCAACCCCUCAUUGGUCCAUCAGUGCUAUUCUAAAAGAGACUCAUGUUAUUUUAAAUUCUUUUGUAUGCUAAAAUGCUUGUUUUGUUUUUAGAGACUUUAACUUUGUAGCUCAUUCCCUAGCCUAACAGGGGCGGUUGCACAUACAUUUCAAAGGGUUCAAAUGAACCCCCUGACUUGAAAAAAAAAAAAAAAUAUAUAUAUAUAUAUAUAUAUAAAAUAAAAAUAUAUAUAUAUAUAUAUAUAUAAAAUAUUGCUUUACCAAUUUAAUACUUUUAAAAAUAUUUUUGCACAUUUUGUUUUAAAUCUUGGACACUCUAAUCACAUAUUAGCUUAUCUCAUAAUCAAACAACAACUUAUUGUAUUAUUUAUGGAUGGAUGAGCGUGAUUGUGUGAGUUAAUAAUUAUACAGUGCAAGUGAAGUUGAUUUUUUUCAUUUAGUUUAAAAUAUUUUCAUAAAAAAAAUGACAAAUAUAUAACCACAAAUGCAUAAAAACAAAAAUAUUAUACAAACUUAACAAAAUAAAAUGGUCAUACUUAUAUUGACAAUAGAAAAUGAAAACCGAUAAUAAACUAUCAUGAGAUGAUUUCAAAAUAUGAAAACUUUUAGAAGGAAAUUGUAAAAUUUCAUGUAUUUGUGUGUUUUUUUUUUCGAUAACUCGAUAUAUUUAAAUUUUUUUUUAAAUUAAAUUUUUGUUUAAUUUAAGUUUCUUAAUGACCCCUUAGAAAAAAAUUCCUAUAACCGCCACUGUAGCCUAAUGGUCUUUUUUUAGGGAUAGAUUUGGGACUCCCCCCUUUUGUAGUUUCUGAGUUUGUAGAGGGCGGAGUUGGUUGAGUCCCAUCCUUUCUUUUGGUUUUGUUUGUUUGGUGUUGGUUGCGUUGUUUUCCUUUCUCUUUUCAUGCAAUUUCUUAUUCAGAAAAAAGAAGAAGAAGUUUUUUUUUUUUGAAAUAAAAAAAAUACAAAGCUUUAACCUUUUCAUCUAAUCAUUUUUUAUUUUUUGGAUAAAUCAUCUAAUCAUUUUUAUCUUAUAUUCUGUUUUUGUGUUAAAUUAUUUGUAUAUAUUAAGAAGAUUCAGAAAUUUAGUUAUUGCUUUUUUUACUGUCAAAAAUACCCUUAAAUUAAUUAACCAACAAUUUAAAAACGGGGUCAAAAUAGUAAAUUGACAAAAAUAAUAAAUUCUUACUUCUACGUUAAAAUGUUUUCCUACUUCUAAUAAAUCCUUACUGCUACUCAAUAGCUUAAAAAACUCCUCACAUAUUUAUCUUCUCCACAUUUUCUGAAUAGAAUUUCUCAUAAAAAAGAAAUGUGUACAAUAAAACUUCCCCACUUUUCUUCUAAAAAAAAAAACUUCCCACUACUCACGUUUGAAAGAAAAUAACUACCCUUCCAAUACGAUAAGGAAAAACUAUCCCACAUUAAAAAAAAAAAAAAGUGUCAGACUAAACUAUCUCAUGUUUCUUUUUCAAACUAUUAUAUUAUCAUUUUUUUUGGAUUUAUUACAUUAUCAAUUUUUUUUUAUAACUAUUACAUCAUCAAUUGAAUUUGGAUAAAACGCAAAAGCUUCUAAUUGAAAAAUGAAUCCUAUUCUCUUUGAAAAAAAAAAUCCUAUCUAUUUUUUCAAAUGGUGACGAAAGAAAAAUUAUAAUACUAAAUUCAAAAAAAAAAAAAAAAGCCUCAUCAUCCGUGAGGCUAGUUUAUUUUAUUGGCGUGGCGUGGACUGUGAAGUGUUGAAAUUGGACUUAUUAUCAAAGUAACCUCCACUACUUGGCAUUCUAAUUCAAAUUGAACUUUUUUUUUCGGAAGAAUAUAACCAUUUUUCACAACCUUCCAUAAAGAAUCUAUCCUAAAUUUGGACUCUAUUCUACUUCUACCACAUCAAAAUAGUACGUGCCUAUUGGUUUGCCAGAUGAGAUGAUGAGUGGGAUCAGACUCGGAUUUUCAACCUCAUUGACAGCUCGAGUGGGAAAUCUCUUGGUACACUAUACACACACUCAAACUCACUCUUACUCACUAUACUGUAUACUCCUGGCUUCCAAGAAUAUUCCUUCAACCUACUACAUUAUAGUUUUAUAGUUGAAAUAAUCAUUCAUAUGAAUUUAUAGUCACGGAUGACAGAACCUUUUAAAUAAGUCAUAUAGUUUAUUUUAAAAUAUUUCAUAAAUGGUUUUAUAAUUCGCAAACCCUAUAAUGAAAACUGUUGAUUAAAAUCAGAACCAAAAAGGCUAUAAAACACUAGUUCCAUUUCCAAUUGAUAGACAGAGAGAGAGAGGGAGACACACACGUCCAAGACCAACCAGCAACCACAUCUCUCUCUCAGUCUCUCAUUUCUUCCUUUGUGUUAAAUCUACGCUUAGAGUUGGUUGGUUGGCUUUCAUUUUUUUGUCGUAUCCAACCUCUUCUCUUGUGGCUCUCACUUCUCAUACGAAGUACCAAAAAGAUUCCUUAAUUCUCUUCCAUUUGUUGUUUGCCUUUUCACAGAUUCUCUUAUUCUUGGGCAACCCAUUUCAGAGUUCCAUCCAAAGCCUUCUUUUGGGGACCCAAUUCAUUCAUUUCAUUUCAUGGGUAUGUAUAUAUAGCUCUCACUCUUUCUUUGUAUAUUAUAUAUAGUAUUAUAUUUCUAUACGUGGAUCUAACACUUUUCUUUUUCUUUUUUGUUUUAAUCAGAUUCUGCUGUCUGA
rnacentral:sRNA from 1 species